rnacentral:rRNA from 1 species
GAUGAACGCUAGCGAUAGGCCUAACACAUGCAAGUCGAGGGGCAUCACGGAGUAGCAAUACUUUGGUGGCGACCGGCGCACGGGUGAGUAACGCGUAUGCACUCUACCUACAACAGGGGGAUAACCCGGAGAAAUCCGGACUAAUACCGCAUAACACAGGGGUCCCGCAUGGGAAUAUUUGUUAAAGAUUUAUCGGUUGUAGAUGAGCAUGCGUUCCAUUAGGUAGUUGGUGAGGUAACGGCCCACCAAGCCUGCGAUGGAUAGGGGAACUGAGAGGUUUGUCCCCCACACUGGAACUGAGACACGGACCAGACUCCUACGGGAGGCAGCAGUGAGGAAUAUUGGUCAAUGGGCGAGAGCCUGAACCAGCCAAAUCGCGUGAAGGAAGACUGCCUUAUGGGUUGUAAACUUCUUUUGUACAGGAAUAAAAAGAGGGACGUGUCCUUCAUUGCAUGUACUGUACGAAUAAGCAUCGGCUAACCCCGUGCCAGCCGCCGCCGUAA